UGCUUCAAUUAUUUGUACGAAAGAAAAAUUCAAAUCGUUACUGCUUCCAUAUUUAUAGCGCCUAAUAUAUAGAUGGAAUGAGAUGAAUUUCUCAAUGAUGUAAUUUUUAGAGCUAAAACAAAAUAAAUCAAAUUUGGUGAUGCAUUGCAAACUUAGCAAAAGAACACGGUACACCUUGAACUAGAGCAUCUCAAUUCGUCCCUUAAUGAUGGUCUGUAUGGGGUUCACAGAAUACAGUAAAAUGAGCAAAAAGUGCAGAAAAAGGGGGGACAAUAAAAGAAAGUAGGCUAAAUACAAAAUACAGAGAAUAAAGUGGUGAUUUACGCGCCAGACGCGCGUUUCGUCUUCACAGGACUCAUCAGUGACGUUCAUAUCAAAAUAUUUAUAAAACCAAACAAGUACAAAGUUGAAAUAUAUUGAAUUAAGAAUAAUGGGCAAAACAAAUAAGAGAAAAUGGGGAAAAAAAUAGAAAAUUCAGAAUCUAGACCCUCUUUAAUUGCAAGUCCGUGUCGAAUAAACCAUCCAGACUUCCGUUUUUUAUAAAUCUUGAAAUAAUAUGUAUACAUUUAUUUGGAGAAUAAAAAUGUAUGUCAUCAUUAAAAGAUAAUUAAAAAUACCAACUGUACCCUAGCC
rnacentral:lncRNA from 1 species